rnacentral:rRNA from 1 species
CUACGGGGUGCUGCAGUGGGGAAUAUUGCACAAUGGAGGAAACUCUGAUGCAGCAACGCCGCGUGGAGGAUGACACUUUUCGGAGCGUAAACUCCUUUUAUAUAGGAAGAUAAUGACGGUACUAUAUGAAUAAGCACCGGCUAACUCCGUGCCAGCAGCCGCGGUAAUACGGAGGGUGCAAGCGUUACUCGGAAUCACUGGGCGUAAAGAGCGUGUAGGCGGGUUAAUAAGUCAGAAGUGAAAUCCUAUGGCUCAACCAUAGAACUGCUUUUGAAACUGUUAACCUAGAGUGUGGGAGAGGUAGAUGAAUUUCUGGUGUAGGGGUAAAAUCCGUAGAGAUCAGAAGGAAUACCGAUUGCGAAGGCGAUCUACUGGAACAUAACUGACGCUGAGACGCGAAAGCGUGGGGAGCAAACAGGAUUAGAUACCCGGGUAGUC